UACGUAGGGUCCGAGCGUUGUCCGGAAUUACUGGGCGUAAAGAGCUCGUAGGUGGUUUGUCGCGUUGUUCGUGAAAACUCACAGCUUAACUGUGGGCGUGCGGGCGAUACGGGCAGACUUGAGUACUGCAGGGGAGACUGGAAUUCCUGGUGUAGCGGUGGAAUGCGCAGAUAUCAGGAGGAACACCGGUGGCGAAGGCGGUUCUCUGGGCAUUACCUGACGCUGAGGAGCGAAAGCGUGGGGAGCAAACAGG
rnacentral:rRNA from 1 species